GGGACCCAGGCGUCCAGGGCGGGCGUUUUCUCCGCCCCCGCCCCGCGAGUCGCGUCUCACGGGUCUCCCCAGAACAGGUAUGGGGGAUCCGGGAGCGAGGAGGGGACCCAGGCGUCCUGGCACCCCCCCGACCCUCCAGACCCCCCCCCCCGUUUCUGCAAGAGGGGGGAAAAUGGAGGGGAGGGAAUGGGAUGGGAAAUCUGCAAAACAAAAGAAAAAGCUAUCAUGUCUUGGGUUGUUUAUGUGAACUUUUUGGAAUGUCAAUCAAUGUUUAAUAGGUUGUGUUUUAGUGUUUUGUUGGAAGCCGCCCAGAGUGGCUGGGGAAACCCAGCCAGAUGGGCGGGGUAUAAAUAAUAAAUUAUUAUUAUAAUCAAAUAUAUGUUUCGAAAAAUGGAGGGGAGGUUUUCCAGCGCUCAGGUAGGGGAGAUCCAGGAGCCCCGCCGCUUCCGACGCCUCCCCGCUCUCAGGAGUCUCUUAGAAUCAUAGAAUCAUAGAAUCAUAGAGUUGGAAGAGACCACAAGGGCCAUCGAGUCCAACCCCCUGCCAAGCAGGAAACACCAUCAGAGCACUCCUGACAUAUGGUUGUCAAGCCUCUGCUUAAAGACCUCCAAAGAAGGAGACUCCACCACACUCCUUGGCAGCAAAUUCCACUGUCGAACAGCUCUUACUGUCAGGAAGUUCUUCCUAAUGUUUAGGUGGAAUCUUCUUUCUUGUAGUUUGGAUCCAUUGCUCCGUGUCCGCUUCUCUGGAGCAGCAGAAAACAACCUUUCUCCCUCCUCUAUGUGACAUCCUUUUAUAUAUUUGAACAUGGCUAUCAUAUCACCCCUUAACCUCCUCUUCUCCAGGCUAAACAUGCCCAGCUCUCUUAGCCGUUCCUCAUAAGGCAUCGUUUCCAGGCCUUUGACCAUUUUGGUUGCCCUCCUCUGGACACGUUCCAGUUUGUCAAUGUCCUUCUUGAAGUGUGGUGCCCAGAACUGGACACAGUACUCCAGGUGAGGUCUGACCAGAGCAGAAUACAGUGGCACUAUUACUUCCCUUGAUCUAGAUGCUAUACUCCUAUUGAUGCAGCCCAGAACUGCAUUGGCUUUUUUAGCUGCUGCGUCACACUGUUGGCUCAUGUGAAGUUUGUGGUCAACCAAGACUCCUAGAUCCUUUUCACAUGUACUGCUCUCAAGCCAGGUGUCCCCCAUCUUGUAUUUGUGCCUCUCAUUUUUUUUGCCCAAGUGCAAUACUUUACAUUUCUCCCUGUUAAAAUUCAUCUUGUUUGUUUUGGCCCAGUUCUCUAAUCUGUCAAGGUCGUUUUGAAGUGUGAUCCUGUCCUCUGGGGUGUUAGCCACCCCUCCCAAUUUGGUGUCAUCUGCAAAUUUGAUCAGGAUGCCCUUGAGUCUUAGAAGCGAGGAGGGGACCCAGGCGUCCUGGCACACAACCCCCCUCCCCCCCGAUAUUCCAGAUACCGCUGCUUUUGCGAGAGAAAAAAUGGAAAAGGAAACAUCACGGGAAACGGGAAGGGAAAUCGGAAAAAGAAAAGAAAAAUCUAUCAUGUAUGGGAUUGCUUGUGAACUUUAUGGAAAUUUAAUAAAAUAUAUAUUUGAAAUAUGGAGGGCAAGUUUGAGCUUUGAGCUGCUAGCCAUGGAAGUGGAAAUAAAAAACUCCCUCCUGGAUCUCCGCAGUUGGUUUAACCCUCCCUUCUCCAAGCAUAACACUUAACUUUCUGCUUUUCAUGAAGUUAGAAAGCAGUGUUUCUGAGCAUGUGAAGAGUGCCUUUGCCAGAAGCCCGGAGUCUGCACAGGUUGGAUAGCCAGCUGCCGUCGAUGCUUUAGUUGAGAUUCCUGCAUUGCAGGGGGGUUGGACUGGAUGACACUGUUAACAGAGAAAUCUGAGGGCUCCCUUGGACAAAAAAAACAAGGACACCAGCCAGGAAUACCAGAGCAAAACAGCAGCCAGUCGGCUUGGUCUUGAUUGAAGACUGUCGCGACAGGACUCCCACCUGCCACCAGGUGGAACAAGAUGGAAGCCCCAAACAUGAGAGAACCCAAACUUUUAUUAGCUGCUAAUCCCCAUAUUAAAGGUAAAGGGGUAAAGGGACCCCUGACCAUUAGGUCCAGUCGUGGCCGACUCUGGGGUUGCGGCACUCAUCUCGCUUUACUGGCCAAGGGAGCCGGCGUACAGCUUCCGAGUCAUGUGGCCAGCAUGACUAUGCCAUUUCUGGCGAACCAGAGCAACGCACGGAAACGCCGUUUACCUUCCCGCUGGAGCGGUACCUAUAUAUCUACUUGCAUGUUGACAUGCUUUCGAUCUGCUAGGAUGGCAGGAGCAGGGACCGAGCAACAGGAGCUCACCCCGUCACAGGGAUUUGAACCUCCGACCUUCCGAUCAAGUCCUAGGCUCUGUGGUUUAACCCACAGCGCUACCCGCAUCCCAAUCCCCAUGUUACACCCCCCCAAACUACAUCACUCAUACAUCAUAGUUACAUCAUGAAAGGGGAGGUCUGGUGGCAGUAAUCUGAGCAUCCUGGACCCUGCCCCAUGGUUCCCCUUGCCCUCCACCAAACACCCAUCAAGUGUAAGAAAAGAGAUAUUCACAUUUCCCUGUUACCCAGCCAAGUUCAUCACAUCCUUUUGUCUUCAUCUGGGUUUGUUAUUUCUGGAAUGGCUACCUGUCUGGCACUCAGGUAUCAGGGUGCCAGGGAUUAUCACUCAGGCAGAGGGGCUGCUGAGGAGCUGAGCUCACCUGUCUAUAUUAAUUUCUGAAGUUUUCCCAGUGAGUCAGUACAUAGAUACAUUGAUCAGUGAAUUCUACAUUUGGUAUCGUGCAGCAGAGGCCCUUUGAAUAGACAGGAAGAAACUGAUGAAGUGUUUUGUGGGGACAAAUCACCAAAGUCACAAAAGCGAUUGUGCUGGUUUUGGUAGUGGGCUGCAUGUGCAUGAUAUCUGCUGGAGGGGCAACCCCCCCCCAACCGAUACAUAAAUUCCUGCAACAACACUCAGGGUCUCCUCCAACUAUGAUUCUAUGAAUGGAUUGGGAAAAGGAAAGGACCGGCAGGUCAGGCGAUGCGAUGACCCAAGCAGGAUUCAGGCCCAACAGCGCACCUCCUGUUAGAAGCACAAGGAAAGGGGGAAACGUCUUGUUUUUUCCUCUGCCCUCCGCGAGCCCCACUCCUCUCCUGCUGACGCCGCCCAAUAUGACCUCUUUCUCGCCUAAGAUGCCAGAAGAUUAAAGGAGGCCACUCUUCCCGCAGGCUGCUUGGGAUCUAAAAGACUGCAGCAAAGCAUUGUUUGCAGAAUCUAAUUAUAUCUUCUCCCACAUUCCUCGCUUAUCUUCUGUUGCAUCAGUUUGGGAGCCCAGAAUAUGAAUUAUUCCCUUCGCAGCAAAACCUGAAGGGAAGUGGCGUCAGGAGUGACUGAGAUUUCUGAGUCCUGUUUCUUGGCUAUCAAAAAUAUUCUUCUGGAUUGAAAAAAGGGGAAGAUCCCUUUUCGUCAGCUUGAGGGAGGAGGUUGUGAAUCAUGUCCUGUGCAAACUCAGGAAGGCCCAUUUACUCCCUGAGUAAACAGGUGGCGUCAGAUCACCUUUAAAAUCCAGAACAACGGGGGCGGGGAUUAUUUUUAAAUGAUCCUCAAUGCUUUAGUUGAUUUUCCUUCUAAAUUGAAACGCCUGCUUCUUGGGAGAAAAGCAACGACAAACCUAGACAGCAUCUUAAAAAGCAGAGACAUCACCUUGCCAACAAAGGUCCAUAUAGUUAAAGCUCUGGUUUUCCCAGUAGUGAUGUAUGGAAGUGAGAGCUGGACCAUAAAGAAGGCUGAUGGCCGAAGAAUGGAUGCUUUUGAAUUCUGGUGCUGGAGGAGACUCUGGAGAGUCCCAUGGACUGCAAGAAGAUCAAACCUCUCCAUUCUGAAGGAAAUCAGCCCUGAGUGCUCCCUGGAAGGACAGAUCCUGAAGCUGAGGCUCCAAGACUUUGCCCCCCUCAUGAGAUGAGAAGACUCCCUGGAAAACACCCUGAUGUUGGGAAAGAUGGAGGGCAGAAGGGGACCACGGAGGACGAGAUGGUUGGACAGUGUUCUCGAAGCUACCAGCAUGAGUUUGACCAAACUGCGGGAGGCAGCGGAAGACAGGAGUGCCUGGCGUGCUCUGGUCCAGGGGGUCACAAAGAGGCGGACACAACUAAACAACUCAACAACAACAACAAUAGUGGUUAGAGCAGUGGUUCUCAAACUCUCUUUUUUCCUGGGCCGCACUUUCAGAAUAAAAAUUUGCUCGCUCCACGCUCAAUUUUUUGAUUGAUAAGAAAUACAAAAAUAAACAACUCCAAGUAGUGCUUGAUUUGUAACAUCCAACACAACUCCUUUAUAAUAUGAUCAGAAAAUAUAAGACAAAGCAGCUACAUGGUAACAUUAACCGUUCCAAAAAUAUAAUUAUAAACGAGUCUUCUCUAGCACUCUGUUCGAACGGUGAUUCUGGAUCAGAACUAGAAUUGUCCUAAUGAUCACUUAGAAGCACAGAAUCGUAGAACUGUAGAGCUGGAAGGGAACCCAGCGGUCAUCUAGUCCAACCCCUUGCUAUGCAGGAAUCUCAACUAAAGCAUCCAUGACAGAUGGGCAGACAACUUCUGCUUAAAAACCUCCAAGGAAGGAGAGUUCACAACCUCCCGCAACUUGAUGCUCUUGCUCUCGUUUUGAAAAGCUCUCCAUCCAUAUUCUGCAAAUAAACAAAAUUAUUCUGAUACGAUCCUCUGCUCUGCUAAGCUGAAAUGUUUAAAUGUUCCUUUGGUUGUCCUCGAAUCUUCCCACUGCCCCUGCCGUCCGCUCCUGCCACACCAGGGCAGAACUUCCCUCACGCCAUUUGAGAUCCCUUGGGUUGGAGCGUAAGACUAGAACCAGGGACAGGUCUGGGUUCAAAUCCCAUCUCAGGAGUGAAGCUCACUGGGUGACCUCACUGAGCCAGUCGUUCCCUCUGGCCUGACCUGUCUCACAGGGUUGUUGCUGUUGCGGGCAUUAAAUGAGAAUCAUAUAAGCUGCCUUGAGCUCCGUGGAGGAAAAAGAGUGAAAUAUUAAUGCAAUAAAUAAAUAAAUAAAUAGAGGUUGCAGGCCUUGUUCUGGCUUGCUUUUAUCUUGUACGCCAGGGAUGGGGAAUAUUUUUUCAGAGCACAGGGGCUGCGCAGUCUCCUUCUAGGUGUGUACAGGGCAGAAGCAAAAGGCUGCGGCGUAAUAAAUGCAGAUGUUUGCCUCUGGACGGAAGCCUAGUUUCUCCACCCACACUCUCACCCAACCCUCCCUGCCCUACAUCCGAGGGAGCAAGCGCAGAGGUGUAAUCGGAAUUCAAUGUCACACUCAAAGCAGGCCCAAAAUAAAAAACCCUCAAGGAAUGUUGGGAGGAGGGAUGGCUUUUGGGUGUGUGUGAUUACGCAAGAGGAAGGGUUGUGUGAUGAAAGUUUUGAGGGCCACGUAGAAAAACCUGUGGGGGCCGCGUUCAGCUCCUGGAAGUAGGGUCCCCCUGUUCUAAGCAAGGGCAUUUUUGUGGGUUUGCUGUAGGGUCAGUCUGUUUUUUAAAAAAAAUAUAAAUGCUUUAUUGAAAUAACAAACAAAGGGCUUAGCCAGAAAAAAGAGAAGUAAAUGGUAAUAUUUGUUAUUUCACAUCACAAUACCUAAGUAGGCAUGCCAGCCAUAACAGUUGUCAUGUCCUUCCAGGUCUAGGUGGUCUGUAUUUUGAAGUGUACACCAUUCCCUGAUCCAGGAGAGACAGUCCGCUUCGUAAUAGAGUUUCAAACCUGACAGUGAAAAUCCCCCUCUUUCUUUGAUAUCAAUUAAUAGUUUGUGACAAACCUACACAGCUUCUUAAAAAAUAGCGACAUCACCUUGCCAACAAAGGUGCGUAUAGUAAAAGCUAUGGUUUUCCCAGUAGUGAUGUAUGGACGUGAGAGCUGGACCAUGAAGAAGGCUGAUCGCCAAAGAAUGGAUGCUUUUGAAUUAUGGUCCUGGAGGAGACUCUGGAGAGUCCCAUGGACUGCAAGAAGAUCAAACUUCUCCAUUCUGAAGGAAAUCAGCCCUGAGUGCUCACUGGAAGGACGGAUCCUGAAGCUGAGGCUCCAGUACUUUGGCCACCUCAUGAGAAGAGAAGACUCCCUGGAAAAGACCCUGGUGUUGGGAAAGAUGGAGGGCACAAGGAGAAGGGGACGACGGAGGACGAGAUGGUGGGACAAUGUUCUCGAAGCCACCAGCAUGAGUUUGACCAAACUGCGGGAGGCAGUGGAAGACAGGAGUGCCUGGCGUGCUCUGGUCCAGGGGGUCACGAAGAGGCGGACACGACUAAACGAUUCAACAACAACAACAAAAAUAGUUUGUGUUAAUUGGGAUUUCCCCCUGCCAGAUAUAUUUAGAGAUGCCUUGCUGGCAAUUUUUGACGCAGCUGGUCCCUCCAAUCACAGGGAUUGUCUGAAACAGGAAAAGCAUUUUUGGUAAAACGUUCGUUUUGAUGGUGGGUAUUCUCUGCUGAGCCUGGAACGCUUGGGGUCUGUCGUCGGUGGUUGGGAUGGCAUGAAAAACUAUCAAUGGCUCCCAGCCGCAGUGGCUCGGCUCGGCCUCCACACUUGCGAGGCAUCAAUUCUUCUGAAUGCCAGUGGCUGGGAGCCGCAUGAGGGUAGCGGGCUCUUGCACUCGGGUCCCGCUUGCAGGUUUCCCAUCUGGUUGGCCCCUGUGGGAAGAGGAUACUGGAAUCAAAGCGCCACUGGCCUGAUCCUGCAGGCUCUUCCUUGCGUGCUUCAAGGGAGUGCCAUUCCAUCUUUGCCCACUGACUUCCUUCGAGCGGUUUCGCCAGGGUGCCGUGUGUUGCCACGACAAGUCCGGGCAAAGCCAGGGCUGUGGCGUCGUGGGUGGAACCGAGUUUCCGAAAGACCUCGCUUUCCAUUCGGUAAUAUCAACAACAGAUAUUCCAUUUAAUAAUACAGUGGUACAUCAGGUUACAGACGCUUCAGGUUACAGACUCCGCUAACCCAGAAAUGGUAGCUCGGGUUAAGAACUUUGCCUCAGGAUGAGAACAGAAAUGGCACGGCGGCGGCAGCGGGAGGCCCCAUUAGCUAAAGUGGUGCUUCAGGUUAAGAACAGUUUCAGGUUAAGAACAGACCUCUGGAACGAAUUAAGUUCUUAACCCGAGGUACCACUGUAGUAAUAAUAAAAGCAAGUUUCUGGGUGCAUGAGUGGGUGGUCAAGACCUGCUGAGGAUGGGGUGGGGGCUGUGCCGGAUUUACGUAUAAGCUAAACAAGCUAUAGCUUAGGGCCCCACUCUCUUAAAGGUAAAAGUACCCCUGACCGUUAGGUCCAGUCACGAACGUCUCUGGGGUUGCCCAUUCAUCUCGCUCUAUAGGCCGAGGGAGCCGGCGUACAGCUUCCAGGUCAUGUGGCCAGCAGGACUAAGCCGCUUCUGGCGAACCAGAGCAGCGCACGGAAACGCCGUUUACUUUCCUGCUGGAGCGGUACCUAUUUAUCUACUUGCACUUUUGACGUGCUUUUGAACUGCUAGGUUGGCAGGAGCAGGGACCGAGCAACGGGAGCUCACCCCGUCACGGGGAUUCGAACCGCCAACCUUCUGAUCAGCAAGCCCUAGGCUCUGUGGUUUAGACCACAGCGCCACCCGCGUCCCUAUAUGUAUAAUCUUAGACAGUUUUUCCGGGUAGUGUGGCCAGCAUGACUAAGCUGCUUCUGGCGAACCAGAGCAGCGCAUGGAAACGCUGUUUACCUUCCUAUUUAUCUACUUGCACUUUGACGUGCUUUCAAACUGCUAGGUUGGCAGGAGCAGGGACCGAGCAACAGGAGCUCACCCCGUCACGGGGAUUCGAACCGCCGACCUUCUGAUCGGCAAGUCCUAGGCUCUGUGGUUUAGACCACAGCGCCACCCGCGUCCCUCCCACUCUCUUGGGGGCCCCCCAAAAAAAAUUAAAGGGGAAAAAAUUGGAAGUACAUUUCCAAAAUAUAAGAUAAAAGGUGAAUAAAAUAAAACCUACAUACGGCAACAGUGUUUUGUGUCGUGUAGGCUCCUAGGAUGUAAGUCAUGGGCCCCGCCUGCUCCCUAAAAUAUCACUGCUUUGCUCCUUUCUAUAUAUAGGGUGCCUACAUUCUGUAUGGACUGGUUCCAUGGCAACAUGAGCAAACGGCUUGAGAUACCUAUUAGGUCCAUAAAUGACCAUAUAUUCAACCCAAAAAACAGCGACAAUUUGUUGUUGACAAAGGAAAGCUGGACAUAGAAAGGGCCCCAUUGCCUCCAGUAGCUUAGGGGCUCAUCAAACCUAAAUCUGGCCCUGUGUAUAUGGUGGUCUUGUAGUAAGGUUAAAAUUUACUGGGAAAUAAACAAGUAUCUGACUUUUAGAAGACAUCUGAAGGCAGCCCUGUUUAGGAAAGGUUUUAAUGACUGAUAUUAAUAUAUUAAUACCCCACCCAUCUGGCUGGGUUUCCCCAGCCACUCUGGGUGGGCGGCUUCCAACAAAAUAUUAAAAAUACAUUAAAACAUCAGUCAUUAAAACUGUCGGGGACGAUUGGCUUGUGCUUCCUGCACAAGUCCCUCCCAUCCUAUGUGCAAGUCCCUCUACCAUCCUAUGAUUCUAAGCAAUGCACCUGAAUACCAGUUGCCAGAAGGAUGGGUGAAUGGUCUUGUGUUCGAAUCCUGCUCACUGGUUUCCCACUGGGGCACUUGUUUGGCAACUGUGGGAACAGGAUGGUGGCUCAGACGGGCCCUGGGCCUGAUCCACCAGGGCUUUUCUAAUGUUAAUAAUAAUAAUAAUAAUUUGUUAUUUGUACCCCGCCCAUCUGACUGGGUUUCCCCAGCCACUCUGGGCGGCUUCCAAUAAAGACCAAAAAUACACUAAGGACCAAGGCCUUCACGUCCUGCUUUGUAGCUCCAAACCAGCCUUCCCAAAAGCACUGACGAGGAAUCUUGAUUGCUCUCCUACGUGCCCCUUUGUGCAAACUCCACCGAAACCAAUGCCAGGAGCUGCCUCGUUUGGCUGUGUCUCCUCCUCCUCCCAAGGCAGCAUUCCACACUCCUUGCUGUUAUUAAACAACACGCGCCAAUUACUCACCAACCUGGUUUCCCAGGCAGGAGACAAAACAUAACAAACUGGAUCGAGGGUGGAAACAAGUCCAGGUGAGCAGAAAAACAGGAUCGGGGUGGCAGUGGAGGAAAAAGUUUUCUCUUCCAUCAUCACAGGUUCGUUUCCUGCAGCACGUACUCAGGAUUUGAACUCGUACCCUCGGCGGCUAGCCACAGAUUUGCCGCCACUUGCCACGGCCCGGGUUGAUUUGGGCAGGUUUGCUCACACCCACAACGUGAGUUAUCAUUUUGCGGCUUGGCAGCAGGUAAAAUCUGAGGCUGGCGCGGCUAUUUUUAAGAUGUCGGCCAACUGCGACACUUGAAUUUCCAGAUCUGCACAUUCAAGGUGGAGGCGACUGCAAAAUGCACAGCCCUAAAUACUGCUGCAAUUACUAAGACAGACAUCAUUUUCCAGCCCAUGAUCCCUCAGACAUUCGUGGGGCCGUCCUUUUUGAAAAUAAUAAUCAAUAAUAAUAGUAAUAAUAAUAAUUUAUUUAUACCCCGCCCAUCUGGCUGGGCUUCCCCAGCCACUCUGGGUGGCUUCCAACAAAGUAUUAAAAUACCGUAAUACAUCAAACAUUAAAAUCUUCCCUAAACAGGGCUGCCUUCAGAUGUCUUCUAAAAGUUUGGUAGUUAUUUUUCUCUUUGACAUCUGGAGGGACGGCGUUCCACAGGGAGGGUGCCACUACCGAGAAGGCCCUCUGCCUGGUUCCCUGUAACUUGGCUUCUUGCAGUGAGGGAACCACCAGAAGGCCCUCGGAGCUGGACCUCAGUGUCUGGGCUGAAUGAUGGGGGUGAAGACGCUCCUUCAGGUCUACUGGGCCUUUGAGGCCAUUUAGGGCUAUCAAGGUCAGCACCAACACUUUGAAUUGUGCUCGGAAACGUACUGGGAGCCAAUGGAGGUCUAUCAAGACUGGUGUUAUAUGGUCUUGGCGGCCGCUCCCAGUCCCCAGUCUAGCUGCCACAUUCUGGAUUAGUUGUGGGUCACCUUCAAAGGUAGCCCCACGUAGAGCACAUUGCAGUAGUCCAAGCGGGAGAUAACUAGAGCAUGCGCCACUCUGGCCCAACAGUCUGCAGGCAGGGAGGGUCUCAUCCUGCGCACCAGAUGGUGCUGGUAGACAGCUGCCCUGGACACAGAAUUGACCUGCGCCUCCAUGGACAGCGGUGAGUCCAGAAUGACUCCCAGGCUGCGCACCUGGUCAGGGGCACAGUUACCCCAUUCAGGACCAGGGAAUCCUCCACACCUGCCCGCCUUCUGUCCCCAAAAAACAGUACUUCUGUCUUGUCAGGAUUCCACCUCAAUCUGUUAGCCGCCAUCCAUCCUCCAACAGCCUCCAGACACUCACACAGAUCUUUGCGUCUCACCAUUUUUCUUCCAUUGCCUCGACCUCUCCUCCAGCUCCCAGCAUUCACGGAAUUGUAGAGUCGAAAGGGACCCGAGGGUCAUCUAGUCCAACCCCCUGCAAUUCCAUCUCAUCCCAAGGUAUUGCGACCUCCAUUCCUGUUAUGUGAGGGUUAGAUUCCAGCAGAGCCACUCUCCCCUUCUCAGACUUCCCUCUCCAUCCCUGGCAGGAAUUCUGACAUCCUAGCUGACUAUAGGAAGGAAGUUGAGCAGUUGGGGGAGUGGUGCAGGAAAAACAACUUAUUCCUUAACUAAAAGAGAUUAUUGUGGACUUUAGGAAAUGUAAAUUGAAUAUUAUCGAGG
rnacentral:lncRNA from 1 species